rnacentral:misc_RNA from 1 species
GAAAUGCGAUAAGUAGUGUGAAUUGCAGAAUUCAGUGAAUCAUCGAAUCUUUGAACGCACAUUGCGCCCUUUGGUAUUCCUUAGGGCAUGCCUGUUCGAGCGUCAUUUAAACCUUCAAGCUCAGCUUGGUGAUGGGUGACUGUCCUCCCCUCGCGGGGGGACUCGCCUCAAAAACAUUGGCGGCCGGUACAUUGGCUUCGAGCGCAGCAGAAACGCGGUCUCGAGUCCGGUGGAUCGGCUCCCAUAAGCCUUCUUUUUUAUUUUGACCUCGGAUCAGGUAGGGAUACCCGCUGAACUUAAGC